GGAAGGUGGAAGGUGGAAGCCAGCGCCAUCUUUGAGGCACAGCUACAGGCAGCUCUCUACAAGCUAUGAUCUAUGACGACCCAGAAUUUAUGUUUGGAGGAAAGUUCAAACCCACCACACAAGUCUGAUGUCUGGAACUUGAAUGUGUCACACCUGGGCCACACUGCAUAAGUAGGACAGAAGUAAAGCUGCAAAGAAGACUCUCAGACAUCCCCAGACAACUGGAAGAAGCAGAG